rnacentral:rRNA from 1 species
AGAGUUUGAUCCUGGCUCAGAUUGAACGCUGGCGGCAUGCCUUACACAUGCAAGUCGAACGGUAGAGUAGCAAUACUCGAGAGUGGCGAACGGGUGAGUAAUAUAUCGGAACGUGCCCAGUCGUGGGGGAUAACGUAGAGAAAUUUACGCUAAUACCGCAUACGAUCUAAGGAUGAAAGCGGGGGAUUCGCAAGAACCUCGCGCGAUUGGAGCGGCUGAUAUCAGAUUAGGUUGUUGGUGAGGUAAAAGCUCACCAAGCCGACGAUCUGUAGCUGGUUUGAGAGAACGACCAGCCACACUGGGACUGAGACACGGCCCAGACUCCUACGGGAGGCAGCAGUGGGGAAUUUUGGACAAUGGGCGAAAGCCUGAUCCAGCAAUGCCGCGUGCAGGAAGAAGGCCUUCGGGUUGUAAACUGCUUUUGUACGGAACGAAAAGGCUCUUUCUAAUAAAGGGGGCCCAUGACGGUACCGUAAGAAUAAGCACCGGCUAACUACGUGCCAGCAGCCGCGGUAAUACGUAGGGUGCGAGCGUUAAUCGGAAUUACUGGGCGUAAAGCGUGCGCAGGCGGUUCUAUAAGACAGAUGUGAAAUCCCCGGGCUCAACCUGGGAAUGGCAUUUGUGACUGUAGAGCUAGAGUACGGUAGAGGGGGAUGGAAUUCCGCGUGUAGCAGUGAAAUGCGUAGAUAUGCGGAGGAACACCGAUGGCGAAGCAAUCCCCUGGACUGUACUGACGCUCAUGCACGAAGCGUGGGGGAGCAAACAG